rnacentral:misc_RNA from 1 species
CCGUUGCUCACGUUUUAGGGCUCUCAGGACUUAGGUCCCAAGGUUGUUGCUGUGGGAUUCAUCUAAAGAGACUAGUGUUAUAAUUGUAGGCCAGAGUGCUUAUAAUUAAAACACGAAGCACCACGGCAGAUUCCCGACUUCGACGAGAUCAUCAGAGAUGGAACCGGCCUGCAACCUCUUCUGCAAAUGCCAUGUUAACGACCCUCCCUGCUACAUGUGUGUCAUCCUUGACUGUACCAUAGACCAAUGGAUGACAUGGUUCUUCAGCCGUCUGCUCCUGUCUUGAGUGGCGAUCUCGAGUUUUUCUCUCCUAGCAGUCUUGAAGAGAGAGGACCAGCCAAGCCCCCACCUUCAGCGUCCUCAGGUGAAUCUUUCGUGACAUUCCGUCUUGGAGAGGCGAAGGAGGAGGGCGUAGGAAACGAUGCCCCAGGAGGAGAAGGAGGAGGGGGAGAGAGGAGAUGCCUGUCCCCUGUCACCGGCCGAUGCCCCCAAACAGUUCCCGGCAUCACUCCUUUUCCUGCCCGAAUAAAGAGGGUUUCCCGAAAGCGCAUUCUUGCUUCGCGCCCUCCUCUUCCUCUUCCCUCCCCUCCAUCUUCUCCUCCUCCUCUUCUUCCUACCCACUCUCCUCUUCCUUCUCCUCCCCAUUCACCUCUUCCUCCCCGCUCUCAUCUUCCUCCUCCUCCCCAUUCACCUCUUCCUCAUUCUCCUCCUCCUUUUCUCCCUCGCCCAUUUCUCCUUCCCUCUUACAAGCGGGAAAAGAACACGUCUGACGCCCCUCACAGAGAAAGGUCUUCGCGAAACAGUCGUCGAGAAAUGAACUCCAGAGAAAACCGAAAUAAAGUGUACAAAGACCAAUGGGACAACCUAGCGUCGAGGAUGACGUCCAUCGCAAAAGUAUCUUCGUGAAACGACCCGAAGACUCAAAUAUUUGUGUGUAUACAUAUAUGUGUGUGUGUGUGUAUAUAUAUGUGUAUAUAUAUAUAUGUAUAUAUUUGUUUGUAUAUAUAUUUGUAUAUAAGAUAUAUAUGUAUAU